rnacentral:rRNA from 1 species
CCUACGGGUGGCAGCAGUGAGGAAUAUUGGUCAAUGGGCGUAAGCCUGAACCAGCCAAGUCGCGUGAGGGAUGAAGGUUCUAUGGAUCGUAAACCUCUUUUAUAAGGGAAUAAAGUGCGGGACGUGUCCCGUUUUGUAUGUACCUUAUGAAUAAGGAUCGGCUAACUCCGUGCCAGCAGCCGCGGUAAUACGGAGGAUCCGAGCGUUAUCCGGAUUUAUUGGGGUUAAAGGGUGCGUAGGCGGCCUUUUAAGUCAGCGGGGAAAGUAUGUGGCUCAACCAUAGAAUGGCCGUUGAAACUGGGAGGCUUGAGUGUGUGUGAGGCAGGCGGAAUGCGUGGUGUAGCGGUGAAAUGCUUAGAUAUCACGCAGAACCCCGAUUGCGAAGGCAGCCUGCCAAGCCAUGACUGACGCUGAUGCACGAAAGCGUGGGGAUCAAACAGGAUUAGAUACCCCAGUAGUC